AGAGGCCCGCCGCGGUAACGACGGGUAACGGGGAAUCAGGGUUCGAUUCCGGAGAGGGAGCCCGAGAAACGGCUACCACUUCCAAGGAAGGCAGCAGGCGCGCAACUUACCCUAAUCUCGAUUCGAGGAGGUAGUGACAAGAAUACCGAUGCGGGACCCUACGGGUGCCGCGUUCGGAAUGAGUACGAUUCGAACCACCUAACGAGGAACGAUCGGAGGGCAAGUCUGGUGCCAGCAGCCGCGGUAAUUCCAGCUCCAAUAGCGUACGUUAAAGUUGCUGCAGUUAAAAAGCUCGUAGUUGAACGUUCGGGUUCCGCGGGACGGGGCCGCCCCGCGAGGGACGGCGCCGCCCCGGGGCUCGUGAUAUCUUAUCUCGCCGCCCGUCGCGAGGCGGACGGAGGGAUGGAUGAGGUUACCUGGAAAAAAUCGGGGCGAUCUAGGCGGGCGAACCUCGCCAACGAACGAUCGGACAUGGGAUC
rnacentral:rRNA from 1 species